rnacentral:lncRNA from 1 species
UCUCAAGUAUGGAUAACCCCAAGAACGGGACAGAGAUAAAACCCAGGGAAGACAGCCUGUGGCGUCACAAAGCCAAGUGUUAAACGUCAGUCCUAGUGACUAGGGUGGCUGCCAAAACACUGUGGCUUCUGUGGGGGCUCCACGUAGUAAAGUGUCCUUCCGUCCUCUCCAGGACCCCAUGGGAGGCUGGCAUUAGGCAGCCACUUCAGGAGGUGCAGUGCCAGAUGCAUGAUGUCGUGCCUUUCCGAGUCACCCUCCGGAGGGGCCAGAAGGGAUGUGACCAGGAGGUGGCUGACCAGGACAGGACAAUUCCCAGACUCCCCAGUGUGGAGUCGAUAAACAGCCAGGCAGUGCGAGUUUAUUUGGAACACACGUUGAGCCAGGGAAGCCCGAGAGAGAUACAAGUAUGCUUGAAUGUCCACCACCUUCCGGGCACUGUGUUGACGUGGGACAUGGCAGCGAACGAGACAAACCCUGCAGAGCCCUGGGGAUCUCACAUGAGCAACCCCCAAGGACUUUCUCUGCCCUCCCCUCCCGGGAGGAACUUCUGUGAACCUGGAGACCUCCUGGCUCUGCCCAAGCUGGUCUUGAUUAUCCAGCUACACUGCAGGGAAGAGAGGAGAGAGGGGCUGCUCAGUCCAGCCAGGUCGAAGGCAAGGGUUCCCUUCCCUUGGACAGAUGGGCGCCUUGAUGUGUCCACUCAUUCAUUUGUUCAAUAAGGAUUGACGAAGCAUCUUCUGUGCCAGCCGCUGUGCUAGGCUCUGGUGAGGGUAGGUGAGAAAGCUGUGGAAAGGACCUGUUGUUUGUGCAAGGACAGAUGACUAACAUGAAGGAUGAAGGAGCCCUUUCUCUGGGGGCAAGUGGGCACCUGACAGCGAAGGAGAGACACACAUAGGCACCCUAAUAAAACUACUCUGAGAGCUCUUUGUGGCAGGGCUGGGUCCCGGGGCAGCCUGUUUGUCAGGGCCAGGAUCCAGCCCCACACUGUGUUUCCUUUGUGUUCACGGGUCCACCAUGUGGG